UACGAAGGGGGCUAGCGUUGCUCGGAAUUACUGGGCGUAAAGGGCGCGUAGGCGGCCGCCUAAGUCGAACGUGAAAUCCCCGGGCUCAACCCGGGAACUGCGUCCGAUACUGGGUGGCUUGAAUUCGGGAGAGGGAUGCGGAAUUCCAGGUGUAGCGGUGAAAUGCGUAGAUAUCUGGAGGAACACCGGUGGCGAAGGCGCGAUC
rnacentral:rRNA from 1 species